rnacentral:rRNA from 1 species
AUCUGGCAGUCUCUGAUUGUCCGAGUUGUAAUCUAGAGAAGUGUUAUCCGCGCUGGACCGUGUACAAGUCUCCUGGAAUGGAGCGUCAUAGAGGGUGAGAAUCCCGUCUUUGACACGGACUGCCAGGGCUUGUGAUGCGCUCUCAAAGAGUCGAGUUGUUUGGGAAUGCAGCUCAAAAUGGGUGGUAAAUUCCAUCUAAAGCUAAAUAUUGGCGAGAGACCGAUAGCGAACAAGUACCGUGAGGGAAAGAUGAAAAGAACUUUGGAAAGAGAGUUAAACAGUACGUGAAAUUGCUGAAAGGGAAACGCUUGAAGUCAGUCGCAUUGUCUGGGAAUCAACCUUGCUUUUGCUGGGYGUACUUUCCAGACAAUGGGUCAGCAUCAAUUUUGAUCGUUGGAUAAAGUCGAGAGGAAUGUGGCAUCUUCGGAUGUGUUAUAGCCUUUUGUCGCAUACAACGGUUGGGAUUGAGGAACUCAGCACGCCGCAAGGCCGGGUACUUGUACCACGUUCGUGCUUAGGAUGCUGGCAUAAUGGCUUUAAUCGACCCGUCUUGAAACACGGACCAAGGAGUCUAACAUGCCUGCGAGUAUUUGGGUGGAAAACCCGAGUGCGCAAUGAAAGUGAAAGUUGAGAUCCCUGUCAUGGGGAGCAUCGACGCCCGGACCAGACCUUUUGUGACGGAUCUGCGGUAGAGCAUGUAUGUUGGGACCCGAAAGAUGGUGAACUAUGCCUGAAUAGGGUGAAGCCAGAGGAAACUCUGGUGGAGGCUCGUAGCGAUUCUGACGUGCAAAUCGAUCGUCAAAUUUGGGUAUAGGGGCGAAAGACUAAUCGA